UCGUGCGCUUCCAGGUUGGCCCCAACGUCAAUAAGAAGCCUCACACACUCAGAACUUCCUUAAAAGAAAUGGAGACGGAGGAAAGGCAUCGUAUCACAUAUAUUUGAAAUAACAGGCUUGGCAGACACGCGGCUGCUGGAGCAGGACGUCUGACCCAACUCCAGUGAACGACACAUGAGGGAGAGGCUGCUGACAGCGUUCACAGUUUCGACACACCCCUCGCCCCCGAUGUUGCCUAGACGCGAGCUGGGAAGUGCCGUGGCCGUCGGACCACCUGCCUGACGUCGGCUCUGAGGAUGGGAAGCACCAGGCUUUGGAAGUGUUUUCACUGCUCAUUUGCCCUAGAAUUACUCCGUAGGCGGGAAAGUUUGCUUCCCCAAAGAAUGGCCUUUUGCCCUCGAAUCCAUUUUACUCUCGGGUUGCCCAAACGGUAAAGAAGGUUCAGUUAAGAACCGAGGUCGCAUGUCUCACACAGUGCGACAAGGGCACAUGCUCCUUCUGGAUUGGAUUCCUGGGUGUAUCCGUUCCAUGCGAACGACCCUGCGCACGACCUUCCCACAGGGCGCCUGGAAGACGGUCCAGCUCCCACCCCGGGCCCGUGCCAGGGCUGCCCUACGAGUGGUCCCGCGUGGGCAUUUCCUAGGUUCCCCUCGGAACCUGGCAAUGACCACGCACAGUCCCGCAUCCUCCCCAGGGUGCGCAGCGCUCCGGUGGGUCUCCGGUUCUGAAGUCACAAGGAUGACCCGGCCGGCAGGGGACCAGGAGCCGGACGCAGAAACCGCGUCUGAGCUGCAUGGGACCCCCGGACCUGCUCCUUUAAAGACACGGCCCUCCGACCCGGACCCAGCCAGACGCCCCUGACGACCCCUCGGAGCGGGUUCGUCCCUGCCCGGGGCGAAUGUAAGCAGAUGCAGCUCUCGGUCCACGAAGGCGGCCCCGCGCUCCCGGCAACCCGCACGUACCCAAGUCGCCCAGGAAGCUGCCGUCUGCGGCACGGGUCUCCAUGCCACCGGCUCCCCGCGUCCCGGC